rnacentral:snoRNA from 1 species
AAGACUAUACUUUCAGGGAUCAUUUCUAUAGUUCUUGACUUGAGAAAUGUGUUUCUAAAGUGUUUGGUCUCGCUACCCACGAGGAUGAGACGCGAUAUUCCCUUCUGAGCGCGAAGCGGGCUUUGAGUAAUGAUUCAUUUCAUCCGUUCUUUGCUUCCUUGUGGAGCAUUGAGGGAGGGAAUAUGAUCAGAGUGGU